rnacentral:rRNA from 1 species
AACGAACGCCGGCGGCACGCCUAACACAUGCAAGUCGCACGAGAAAGUCCCCGCAAGGGGACCGGUAAAGUGGCAGACGGGUGAGUAACGCGUGGGUAACCUACCCUCGAGUGGGGGAUAACCCCGCGAAAGCGGGGCUAAUACCGCAUAACAUCCCGGAACGCGAGUUUCGGGAUCGAAGGUGGCUCGCAAGAGCUACCGCUCGGGGAGGGGCUCACGUUCCAUCAGCUAGUUGGUGGGGUAACGGCCUACCAAGGCGGNGACGGAUAGCUGGUCUGAGAGGACGACCAGCCACACUGGCACUGAGACACGGGCCAGACUCCUACGGGAGGCAGCAGUGAGGAAUCUUGCGCAAUGGACGAAAGUCUGACGCAGCGAUGCCGC